rnacentral:rRNA from 1 species
UACGGAGGGUGCAAGCGUUAUCCGGAUUCACUGGGUUUAAAGGGUGCGUAGGUGGGUUUGUAAGUCAGUGGUGAAAUCUCCAAGCUUAACUUGGAAACUGCCGUUGAUACUAUAAAUCUUGAAUGUUGUGGAGGUGAGCGGAAUAUGUCAUGUAGCGGUGAAAUGCUUAGAUAUGACAUGGAACACCAAUUGCGAAGGCAGCUCACUACACGAAGAUUGACACUGAGGCACGAAAGCGUGGGGAUCAAACAGG